UUCUACCCCAGAUUGAAAUGGAAAGCAUUUUUUUGUGAAUUUGUAUUUUUUGUGGCGGUAAAAAAGCGACUGAAAGAAGCUCUUUUUAUACCGGACAAAAAAAUAAAUUCACAAAAAAUCUUGUAAUGGAAAGCUGGAUCAGGU
rnacentral:sRNA from 1 species